rnacentral:rRNA from 1 species
GGAGCAACGCGCGUGAGUGACGARGUCUUCGGAUUGUAAAACUCUGUCCAAAGGGAAGAAACAAAUGACGGUACCUUUGGAGGAAGCCCCGGCUAACUACGUGCCAGCAGCCGCGGUAAAACGUAGGGGGCAAGCGUUGUCCGGAAUUACUGGGCGUAAAGGGCGUGUAGGCGGCUCUACAAGUUAGAAGUGAAACCCAUCGGCUYAACCGGUGGCCUGCUUCUAAAACUGUCGGGCUUGAGUGCAGAAGAGGGGAGUGGAAUUCCCAGUGUAGCGGUGAAAUGCGUAGAUAUUGGGAGGAACACCAGUGGCGAAAGCGGCUCCCUGGCCUGUAACUGACGCUGAGGCGCGAAAGGUGGGUAGCAAACAGGAUUAGAUACCCUGGUAGUCCACGCCGUAAACGAUGGGUGCUAGGUGUUGGGGGUAUCGACCCCCCCAGUGCCGCAGUUAACGCAAUAAGCACCCCGCCUGGGGAGUACGGCCGCAAGGUGAAACUCAAAGGAAUU